AUGGCUCUUCCGGACUGGGAUCCGCCGGAGGAGAAGGUGGUGAUAUGCCCGAUCGCGGCGUGCCGCGGCAAGUUCUACUUCAACAGCACGUCGACCAGCCUCGAUGUGAUCGACUUCUGCGGCGGCCUUGCUGCCCCGGUCUUCAGCUCGAUCGCCGUCGAGGAUACCAUUGGUAUGUGUCAUGGGAGCGUUUUCUUGGUGGAAUCUAGUGACCAGCUCUAUAUGGUACGCCUGUUCGGCGUCAAUGCCUCGGAGCCGUACCAUGGCGCCACCGUUCACAUGAUGGAUUUCUCGAAGCGGCAAUGGUGCGAAGUGGACGACCUCGGCGGCUGCACGUUCCUCUUGUCCAUCUAUGAAUUUGGCGCCUCGUUCUCCGGUGACGGCAGUUGUGGUUUGCGGCAGGAUUGCGUCUAUUUCCCGGACCGUCACCGGAAAACAUUGCAGGUGUUUGACGUAAAGGAUGGAAGUAUAGAGCUGCAGAAACUUGAUGAAGCUCCGGCGUCAGAUAGAGCAUUCUGGGUGCUUCCUACCGAUCUGUAG
rnacentral:rRNA from 1 species